rnacentral:rRNA from 1 species
AUGAAGAACGUAGCGAAAUGCGAUACUUGGUGUGAAUUGCAGAAUCCCGUGAACCAUCGAGUCUUUGAACGCAAGUUGCGCCUGAGGCCAUUAGGCCAAAGGCACGUCUGCCUGGGCGUCACGC